ACAGGUGGGUGUGCCUCUGGCUGCUUUUAACAUCCUCCCUUUGCUGUUCUGAAAACUUCACGUCAGAGUCAUAUUUAAAUGUGUAAUUACUGCUCUUUCUCCUGCUUAUAAUUCAUUAUACUUUUUGAAUUUGAGGCUUGUGUUUUUAUGAACCUUGAAAAGCCCUCUGCUGCCGGCCUCUGGAGCCACCGUCUCCCUGCCCUGCUCUCUCCUCUGCCGAGGUGCCUGUUAAGCUGCAUUCUCUCCUCCACAGCUCCCCGCUUCCUGCAGGCUUCCUGUCUCACUUUCUUUCUGUGCUCCAGAGUCUAGGCAAUCUCUUUUGUUAGAACUUCCAAUUCACCAAUACUUUCUUAUGUUGUGUCUAAUAAGCUACAUCAUCUGCUCACUGGGUUUUUUAUUUCAGUGAUUAUAGUUUUCAUUUCCAGAUAUUCCAUAUGCCUUAAAAACAUCUGCAUGAUACUCCAUGGUUUUAACUCCCCUGAUGAAUACUGUGCAUUUAACCAUCCCAGCACGUGAGGUCCCUGGGGCUGACCCCUGCUGACCCUCUCAGAACAGCUUUCUUCCUCAACGUCUUGUAAUUCCAACCAGGCUCUUCGUCUGUCUACACUCUGGGAGCCGGAAGGCCGGGAUGAGGAAGGCUUUUCUAGCAAGAGUCUUUUAGGAGACACAGGCCACGAUACUGUCAACAUAGGAAAAUGUGCAACUCCUGCGUCCCACCGUAAAACUCGAAGACGUCAAAAUACAUUCUUGAUUCUGCUCCACAAAGGGAUGUUUCCAUGGCGAUAUUUUCAAACAACAGAAAGUUCACGGCCGAUGGCGGUUACAGCUCAUGGAACUGAUGGGCAGGGCCGGGUGCAGCUUUGUAGCACGGCUGCUGCUCACAGAUUCUCUUCCAUUUGACUAAAAACCAUGCUGUCCACACCAAACAUCUGGCCUCAUCCGGAUGUUCAAAGCCAUGAAAUACAGCACUUCUGGCCAAGAAGUCUAAAUCACAGCCGAUCUACACGAGGCGGAUGGUCCACAACGCCAAGUUCCUACCCGGGCACUGAGCUCAACGCUCGCACAACUCCAAACGAGGGCGCAACCAUAUUCCCACUGACAUCCUCCUUGGGGCAGCAAGACAAGCUCCGAACAGCCUGUCCUGGGCCAACAAGAGAAGCUGGCGGGCGCCCGCUGAGCACUGUGAGCCAUCUUGUGGUGAGACUGGCUUCUCCUUCCAAUCUCCAGGUUUCUCUCUCUUUCUGCCUUCUUUCUGUCAGUUACCGUCAUUGAUCACUUAAAGAAAGACAGGGCCUACCCCUGUCUGCUGCGUGACCUCAGCCCUCCCGCCUGCCGAUGGGAGCUGGGUCAUCUCUUACGCCUUUCAGCUUUGGCUUCUUCCGCAGUGUAUGUGAAGGGGUCACACAGAGCAUCCAGCGGUCACCAUGGUGAACAAGAAGCCAGGAAGGAAGGAAGCAAUGUCGGCAAAAGGGCUCAGAUGACAACCAAACAGAACGGUUUCCCACCCUGGGCCUCCUUUCCACACACACAGCAUCGUGGGUAUUUUAAAAUAAACAAGAUCAACGUCCAAACCUGC
rnacentral:lncRNA from 1 species